UCUGUGUUUUUUUAAUCAAAA
ensembl:piRNA 21ur-5625 ncRNA